UUUCUUUUUAUUAUCCUAAAUCAAAAUUGAAAAACGGAAAAGGAAGAGAAGUAUUAACAUCUGGUUAAUUCGUGUACUUUCCUCCACCGCCGAUCACCACCGCCGUAACCUUUGCCAUCGCCGACAGCUGCCUCCAUCAUCCUAUUCCUUGGACCUCAUUUCCAUCUGAUCUACCUUUGAUCCACAUCACUAUCAUCAUUUGUUCAUCUCAGAUUUACGUUGCCAAGGUCUUCUAGCCACCGUUGCUGCUCUUGUCACAACACCACACCUCCGCCGCUUGCACCGCCGCCAUUUUUGCGUGUAGACGCACAAGAUCGUCGCUGCCGGAUAUCUGUUUGUUUUGUUGUUGUUUCCUGUUCAGAUGCUGCACUUGUGUUACGGGCUUUAGUUUUGCCCUUCCGCCUAUGGUUUGAUGUUGCUUUGUUAGUUCCCUUACUAGCCCCAGUUUUGUCACUGCAGCAUAUCCUUUUCCUCAUAUCUAGGCCUUUUAAAGAUAAUUUUGCCACCUUGAAAGAGAUAGGAUUUGCUGUCAAUACUCUCCAAAGAGCCGAACUGCAAAAUAUUUUAAGCAACAAUGGAAUUGGAAUUGGUAAUUUGAACGAGUUGCGUGAAUUUUGGGACAAAUUACAGAUCAGAACUUUGAUUCAAGGCUUCAAACCUUCUUUAACAUUUUACAGUUUGACAGCACGAAAGAGUGGUUUUAUUGGCUUUAAGAAAAGACCAAUAAAAGCAUUUGGAUUGGUGCAACAACCCUUCAUGUCAUGGUAAUGCUUCUUAGGAUCUGUAUUGGGAUUGGUUUAUAGCCUAAGUUAAUGUAAUAUAGUUAUAGACUUGUACUAUUUUUUUUAGAUUUAUAACAUGAUUUAUUGUUUUUCAAGAUAAAUUUGUGUAUCAAUAUUUUGAGUUUAAUAAAAUUUCUCAUUUUAUAGUUA